rnacentral:rRNA from 1 species
CAACUUUCAGCAACGGAUCUCUUGGCUCUCGCAUCGAUGAAGAACGCAGCGAAAUGCGAUAAGUAAUGUGAAUUGCAGAAUUCAGUGAAUCAUCGAAUCUUUGAACGCACCUUGCGCUCCUUGGUAUU